rnacentral:misc_RNA from 1 species
UUAACAGUUCGCUUAGAACACUCAGAAAUAUCGUCGGGUUCGAACAGAGAUUCUGAUGAUACCGGCGGGCACGCCCCGGGAGGCGCGCCGCCGAAGCAACAGGUAUAAAGGUUCACAAAGGGUUAUGAGUUAUAGUACUCGGUAAUGAUCCCUCCGCUGGUUCACCAACGGAGA